UGCCAGCCGCCGCGGUAAUACGGAGGGGGUUAGCGUUGUUCGGAAUCAUUGGGCGUAAAGGGUGUGCAGGCUGGAAAGUGUGUCUGAUGUGAAAGCCCGGGGCUUAACCCCGGAAGUGCAUUGGAAACUGCUUUUCUUGAAUCUCGGAGAGGGUAGUGGAAUUCCUGGUGUAGAGGUGAAAUUCGUAGAUAUUCGGAGGAACACCAGUGGCGAAGGCGGCUCACUGGCUCGAUACUGACGCUGAGGUGCGAAAGCGUGGGGAGCAAACAGGAUUAGAUA
rnacentral:rRNA from 1 species